UCGGUGGUGCUGUCUCCUCUCAUUUUAUAAGU
rnacentral:piRNA from 1 species